UACGGAGGAUCCAAGCGUUAUCCGGAAUCAUUGGGUUUAAAAGGUCCGUAGGCGGUUUUGUAAGUCAGUGGUGAAAGCCCAUCGCUCAACGGUGGAACGGCCAUUGAUACUGCAAGACUUGAAUUAUUGGGAAGUAACUAGAAUAUGUAGUGUAGCGGUGAAAUGCUUAGAGAUUACAUGGAAUACCAAUUGCGAAGGCAGGUUACUACCAAUAUAUUGACGCUGAUGGACGAAAGCGUGGGGAGCGAACAGG
rnacentral:rRNA from 1 species